UACGUAGGGUGCAGGCGUUAAUCGGAAUUACUGGGCGUAAAGCGGGCGCAGGCGGCUUCCUAAGUCAGAUGGGAAAUCCCGGGCUUAACCUGGGAACUGCGUUUGAAACUGGGAGGCUAGAGUGCGGCAGAGGGGGGUGGAAUUCCACGUGUAGCAGUGAAAUGCGUAGAUAUGUGGAGGACCACCGAUGGCGAAGGCAGCCCCCUGGGCCAGCACUGACGCUCAUGCACGAAAGCGUGGGGAGCAAACAGG
rnacentral:rRNA from 1 species